AGACAGCACCCUGUUACGGGUUCCCGCGCGAGCGGGGAGCAAAAGGGAAGUCCGGUGCGCGGUCCGCCGCAAGUCCGGUGCUGUUCCCGCAACUGUAACCGGCGAGUGACGCGCCUUUCAUGCCACUGUGGCGGUCGGGAUGUCCCCGGCCAAUGCCAUGGGAAGGCGGUGCGGAUGCAUUGACCCGGGAGCCAGGAGACCUGCCCGUUGACAGUCUGUCCU
rnacentral:ncRNA from 2 species